rnacentral:rRNA from 1 species
GACGAACGCUGGCGGCGUGCCUAAUACAUGCAAGUCGAACGCUGAAGCGAGGAGCUUGCUCUUCUUGGAUGAGUCGAGAACGGGUGAGUAACGCGUAUGUAACCUGCUUUGUAGUGGGGGAUAACCAUUGGAAACGAUAGCUAAUACCGCAUAACAAUGUAUGACCCAUGUCAUUUAUUUGAAAGUGGCAAAUGCUCCACGACAAGAUGGACCUUCGUUGUAUUAGCUAGUAGGUGAGGUAACGGCUCACCUAGGGGGCGAUGCCUAGCCGACCUGAGAGGGUGAUCAGCCACACUGGGACUGAGACCCGGCCCAGAGGCCUACGGGAGGCAGCAGUAGUGCAACGUCGGGAAGGGGGGGAACCCUGACCGAGCAACGCGGAGUGAGUAAGGAGGGAUGUCGGGUCGGGAAGCUCGGUUGUCGGUCAAGAAAGCGUGUGCGCGUGGAAAGUUCACUCUGUGACGGUAGCUGAUCAGGAAGGAACGGCUAACUACGUG